rnacentral:lncRNA from 10 species
UUUGUAUUUUUAGUAGAGACGGGGUUUCUCCAUGUUGGUCAGGCUGAUCUUGAACUCCCACCAUCACACCUGGCUAAUUUUUGUGUUUUUAGUAGAGACAAGGUUUCACCAUGUUGGCCAGGCUGGUCUCAAACUUUUGACCUCUGGUGAUCCACCUGCCUCGGUCUCCCAGAGUGCUGAGAUUACAGGCGUGAGCCACCAUGCCCGGCCGCUGUGUAAUAAUUCUUAAAUGUGAUCCCCUCGAACGGAGUGACACAGGGGAAGGUGACAUCAAUGACCAGCACACUAGGCCGGCCUUGGGAGGUCCAUACGUCCCCCACCUGCAGGGCUACGGUGCCUUUCACAUGGCAAGGCACCAAAACGCGGGACAUGGUGCUAGCAGCCGCGAUUAAGUGCAAUAGCUGCUCCAGGCCCCGACCUCCAGCCCUUCCUGCCAUCCUCAGGUUCUCAUCUUGGAUAGGAAGAUCAUAGAGGUGAUGCUGUGUCCUCAUUUCAGCCUAUGAGGUGGCACAGGAUUUGAAUACUGAUGAUAUUCACUUUGAUUCCUUCGUUAAGAUGGUAUUUGCCAUGUUUCUGUACUUUAAAGUUAUUAUUUUCCUAUUUCAGUUCGGAGUGGGGAGGUACUUUGAGGCUAUGUCAAUAUCCCAUUCCUCAUCAAACUUUCCAUUUAUUCAUUAAUUUAUUUAUGGCAGUAUGGACUCACGGUUUUCUAAUUUAUUCAAUAGGUUAUAUAAUUCAUUCCUUUCAUUAUUUAUUUUGAUUCUUUUUUCUUUUUCUUUUUCUUUUCUUUUUUUUUUUGAGACGGAGUUUUGCUUUUGUUGCCCAGGCUGGAGUGCAAUGGCACGAUCUCGGCUCACCGCAACCUCUGCCUCCCGGUUUCAAGCAAUUCUCCUGCCUCAGCCUCGUGAGUAGCUGGGAUUACAGGCAUGUGUCACCAUGUCCUGCUAAUUUUGUAUUUGUAGUAGAGAUGGGGUUUCUCCAUGUUGGUCAGGCUGGUCUCAAACUCCUGACCUCGGGUGAUUCACCCACCUCGGCCUCCCAAAGUGCUGGGAUUACAGGCGUGAGCUACCAUGCCCGGCCUAUUUUGAUUUUUAACUUUUUGUUUUAAAAUAAGUAUAGAUUCACAUGCAGUGGUAACAAAAAUUAUAAGGGAGGACCCAUGCACUCCACUCAAUUCCCCAAAUGGUAACAUCUGGCAUAAAUUUAGUACCAUGUCAAAACCAGGAUAUUAACGUUGGUGCAAUCCAGAGUGUAUUCAGAUUUCACCAGUUUUGUGUGCACUUAUGUGUGUGAGUUUAAUUCCAUUCAGUUAUUUCACGUGUAACCACUACCACAUUCAACAGAGAAGGCUUCCAUCCCCACAAAGCUCUCUUGUGCUACCCCUUUAUAAACGGAACAGACACCUACCUUCUCCACCACCCUAAUCCCUCGCAGCACCUAAUCUCUAUUUUCUUAUUUCAGGGUUAUUGUAUAAAAGAAAUCAUACAAUACUCAGUUUUUUCAGAUUGGCUUUUUCACUCAGCAUAAUCCCGUGGAAAUCCAUCCAAAUCGUUGCAUGUAUCAAGGGUUUGCUCCUUUGUAUUGCUGAGCACUGUUCCAUAGUAUGGACAUAUCACAGAGAUAAACAUUCAUCCCUAAUGUUGAAAAGGCAUUUGGGCUGUUUCACUUUGUGGCUAUUACAAAUAAAGCUGCUAUGAACAUUCAUGUACAGGGUUGUAUUUUUUGUGAUCCUCCCACCUCAGCCUCUAGAGUAGUUGGGACCACAAGCGCAGAACGCAACGCCUCGCCUCGUCCCACCCCAAGCCGCCCCGCCUCGCCUUGCCUCGCCUCAUUCUUUUUUUAGAUGGAGUCUUGCUCUGUUGCCCAGGCUGGAGUGCAGUGGUGCGAUCUCAGCUUACUGCAACCUCUCCCGGGUUCAAGUGAUUCUCCUGCCUCAGCCUCCCAAGUAGCUGGGAUUACACGCACCCACCACCAUGCCCAGCUGUUUUUGUAUUUUAGUAGCGAUGGGGUUUCACCAUGUUGGCCAGGCUAGUCUUGAACUCCUGACCUCAGGUGAUCCACCUGCCUCGGCCUCCCAAAGUGCUGGGAUUACAGGCAUGAGCCACUGUGCCCGGCCUUUUUUUUUUUUUUUUUAAUAGAGACAGAGUCUUUCCAUAUUGCCCAGGCUGGUCUUGAACUCCUAGGACCAAGCGAUCCUCCUGCCUCCCAAACUGCUGGGAUUAUAAGCGUGAGCCAGCGCACAUGGCCCAUAGAAUAUAUUUUCUCUUUUUUUUUUCUUUUUUUGAAACGGAGUCUCGCUCUGUUGCCCAGGCUGGAGUGCUGUGGCAUGAUCUCGGCUCACUGCAGCCUCCGCCUCCCGGCUUCAAGUGAUUCUCCUGCCUCAGCCUCCUGAGUAGCUGGGAUUGCAGGCGCCUGCCACUGCGCCUGGAUAAUUUUUGUAUUUUUAGUGGAGAAGGGGUUUCACCAUGUUGGCCAGGCAGGUCUUGAACUCCUGACCUUGUGAUCCACCCACCUCGAUCUCCCAAAGUGCUGGGAUUAUAGGCAUGAGCCAUCAUGCCUGGCCAUCAAAGCCAUCCUUUCUGUCUCACAAACUGUUCUCUGGCCAUUUCACAAUCUUUGUUGCACGCAUUAGGGCUUUGUGGGUGAUGAUAUAAAGGGGAUGUUUUGUUUCAUUUUAUCAUUAGAACCUUUAAAAGAGUAGCAAGUUAUUCUGCUGGACUUCCCAAAAAUGUAGCUGGGAAGAAAAAUAUAACCAAUCAAAAGCUGAAAAUUACUUUCGAGGACUCAGGAAGGGAAUGUGUGGUACGUGCUGCAUGGUAUCUGUUAAAAUAGCCACUGUGCUGAAAUCCCUUUGUGGGGAAAGGUGGAGAUUUUUGCAAAUGCAAGACAAAAUGUUACUUCUCUGGGUAUGACCACAGUAACAAGGACACAGAAAAAUAGGUCAGAACCAAAGGAAAGAUGGGGUUAUCUGUCCUGAGAAUCAAAGCCUCCUAUGGAUCCUCACUCUGAGAGUGCCUGGGAAUAAGAAGCUGAGUUUCAUCGACAGCAGCAGGAAAUGCAGAGUGAGAAAAGCAGGAAGAAGGCAGGGCACAGUUGCUCACGCCUAUAAUCCCAGCAUUUUGGGAGGCCGAGGCAGGCAGACCACCUGAGGUCAGGAGUUCGAGACCAGCCUGGCCAACAUGGUGAAACCCUGUUUCUACUAAAAAUACAAAACAUUAGCCAGGGAUGGUGGCACGUGCCUGUAGUCCCAGCUACUUGGGAGACUGAGGCAGGAGAAUCGCUUGAACCCAGGAGGCGGAGGUUGCAGCGAGCAGAGAUCCGCGCCAUUGCACUCCAGUCUGGGCGACAGAGCAAGACACCGUCUCAAAAAAAAAGGAAGAAGAAAGUUCUAGUAGCCACAGAAGUUAGUUGCUUUGACCAUGGGCAUGAUACCAGAAUUUCAAAAGUGACAGAAAAAGCAGGCAGACAGAUGGCAGAGGUGUUUGCUGGAACCCUCAAGCCCUGCACUCCAGCCUGGGUGACAGAGUGAGAUUAUGUCUCAAAAAAAAAAAAAAAAAAGAAUGGCUUUGUUGAUUAGCAAAAAGCUGGAAUGUGGACACUGGCAACACAACAGGAUUGGGACCCUCUCUUUUUUUUAUUUUUGAGAUGGAGUCUUGCUCUGUCGUCCAGACUGGAGUGCCGUGGCGUGAUCUCAGCUCAUUGCAACCUCCACCUCCUGGGUUCAAGUGAUUCUCUUGCCUUAGCCUCCCGAGUAGCUGGGAUUACAGACGCCUGGCUGUAAUCCACAUCGCCUGGCUAAUUUUUGUAUUUUUAGUAGACACAAGGUUUCACUAUGCUGGCCAGGCUGGUCUCGAACACCUGAGCUCAAGUGAUCCACCUGCCUCGACCUCCCAAAGUGCUGGAAUUACAGGUGUGAGCCACCGUGGUGGUCAUAAAUAACUUUUUUUUGAGACAGGCUCUCUAUCUCCUAGGCUGGAGUGUAGUAACGCGAUCAUGGCUCACUGCAGCCUCAACCUCCUGGGCUCAAGCAAUUCUCCUGCCCCAGCCUCUCAAGUAGGACUACAGGUGCACCCCACCAUGCCUGGCUGAUUUUUGUAUUUUUUGUCGAGACGGGGUUUCACCAUGUUGGCCAGGCUGGUCUCGAGCUCCUGGGCUCGAGCCAUCCUCUUGCCUUGGCCUCCCAAAGUGCUAGGAUUACAGGUGUGAGCCACUGCCCCUGGCUGGAUUGCUUCAUUUUAAACACUAUAAAAUAAAUAUCUCACCCUCACCGGUAAAUACACAUAUCUCCCCCUACUCCGUUUUUAACACUACAGGGCAACAUUCUGAAUUGAAAUGUUCCAUAAUAUUCAUUUUUGUCACUCACCUGUAAUAGUGUAGACACUGGCCGGGCGCGGUGGCUCAUGCCUGUAAUCCAGCACUUUGGGAGGCCAGGGCAGGCAGAUCACCUGAGGUCAGGAGUUCGAGACCAGUCUGACCAACAUGGGGAAACCCCGUCUCUACUAAAAUACAAAAUUAGCUGGGCGUGGUGGCGCGUGCCUGUAAUCCCAGCUACUCAGAAGGCUGAGGCAUCCCUCAGAAUUGCUUGAACCCAGGAGGCAGAAGUUGCAGUGAGCUGAGAUCGUGCCAUUGCACUCCAGCCUGGGCAACAAGAGCGAAACUCCGUCGCAAAAAUAAAAUAAAAUAAAAUAAAAUAAAAUAAAAUAAAAUAAAAUAAAAUAAAAUAAAAUAAAAUAAAAAGAAAAGUAAAGUGUAGACACUAGAUUGUAGUUGUAGAAUUACAUCAUAAUGGAAAUAUGUUCAGGCUGAGUCCUUCCUUUGGCAUGUUUGCAUUGUGUGAACAGUGGAAUGAAUCAAUUUCUGUUACCAUUACCAUAUGUUUUUCUCAUCCCGUAUGGUUUUCUCAGUACAUAGCAUCGUGUAAGCUACUCUAACACUGGAGUUCAGAGAACUGGUUUGAGUUCCAGCUUGCUAACCAGGUGGUGCUCAAAACACAGCCAUGGCCACAAAAGCCCAUUCUCUGAAGUUGGUGUGUGAUGUAUAAAUUCAUAGCCUAAUUCUCCUUUUGACUUCUCCUCAAUACACUGUUUCAUAAAGAUGGUAGCUGCCCACCCUUUUGUGGUUCAUAAGUAUGGUGGUUCGGUUUUCAUGCUUAUGUGUGAGACAUGCCUCUCUCCAACCUUGUUACAGCACAGGCACAUUACCCAUCUGACAUGAGGGGAAAAAAGGUUAUGGUUCUAAAUGCCAUUUUUGGAAAAGAAAAAGAAAUCCGGCCAGGAGCAGUAGCCCAUGCCUGUAAUUCCAGCACUUUGGGAGGCCAAGGUGGGCAGAUCACUUGAGGUCAGGAGUUUGAGACCAACCUGGUCAACAUGGCGAAAUCCUGUCUCUACAAAAAAAACCAAAAAACAAAAAUUAGCCAUGCAUGGUGGUGGGCACCUAUAGUCCCAGUUACUCGGAACUCUGAGGUGGGAGGAUCGCUUGAACCUGGGAGGCGGAGGUUGCUGUGGGCUGAGAUCGUGCCGCUGCACUCCAGCCUGAGUGACAGAGUGGAACCCUGUCUCAAAAAACAAAACAAAACAAAACAAAACAGAAAAGAAAAGAAAUCCAAAGACUGUGAUACUUUCUUCAUAAUUCCCAAGUUUUAACAUGGAGGGUAUAUAUUAAAAUAUAUUUGUAUUUCAUAUUAUAUAUGUUAUAUAUGACACACACAUAAAGCAUAUGCACAUGACAAGAGAUAGGCCAGGGUAGCGUAGACUUCAGUACUUCAGAUACAACCAUCACUUUUGCCAUAUCCACGUACCAAAUGAACAUUAUUUACUUAACAUGUUUCUUUAAAUUGGUGCACAUUUUAUUUAUUAUUUAUUUAUUUAUUUUUAUUUAUUUGUAUUUUUGAGAUGGAGUCUCAUUCUGUCGUCCAGGCUGGAGCGCAGUGGCGUGAUCUUGGCUCACUGCAACCUCUGCCUCCCGGGUUCAAGCGAUUCUCCUGCCUCAGCCUCCUGAGUAGCUGGGACUACAGGUGGGUGCCACCAUGCCCAGCUAAUUUUUUGUAUUUUUAGUAGAGACGGGGUUUCACCAUGUUAGCCAGGAUGAUCUCGAUCUCCUGACCUCGUGAUCUGCCCGCCUCGGUCUCCCAAAGUGCUGGAAUUACAAGUGUGAGCCAUCGCGCCUGGCCUAUUUAUUUUUGAGACAGGAUCUUACUCUGUCGCCUAGGCUGGAGUGCAGUGGCGUGAUCUCAGCUUACUGCAACCUCCACCUCCCAGGUUCAAGUGAUUCUCCUGCCUCAGUCCCCUGAGUAGCUGGAUUACAGGUGCCCACCACUGCGCCCAGCUAAUUUUUGUAUUUUUAGUAGAGACGGGGUUUCACCAUGUUGGCCAGGCUGGUCUCGAACUCCUGACCUCAGGUGAUCCACUGGCCUCGGCCUCUCAGAGUGCUGGGAUUACAGGUGUGAGCCAUCACUCCUGGCCCACAUUUUAAAACAUAAGUAAAACUGCAUUUAUUUAUCUCUGAUGGAACUAAUGGGCACAGCAGGAAACAGACGGUACCUUCCCCAGUUUCC